rnacentral:rRNA from 1 species
UACAUGGGGUGCAAACGUUGCUCGGAAUUACUGGGCGUAAAGCGUGCGUAGGCGGUUUGUUAAGUCCGUUGUGAAAGCCCUGGGCUCAACCUGGGAAUUGCAGUGGAUACUGGCGAGCUAGAGUGCGGGAGAGGAUGGUGGAAUUCCCGGUGUAGCGGUGAAAUGCGUAGAGAUCGGGAGGAACACCCGUGGCGAAGGCGGCCAUCUGGACCAGCACUGACGCUGAGGCACGAAAGCGUGGGGAGCAAACAGG